rnacentral:rRNA from 1 species
AUACGUAGGGGGCAAGCGUUGUCCGGAAUUAUUGGGCGUAAAGCGCGCGCAGGCGGUCAAGUAAGUCUGGUGUAUAAACCCUAAGCUCAACUUGGGGUCGCAUUGGAAACUGGUUGACUGGAGUGUAGGAGAGGGAAGUGGAAUUCCACGUGUAGCGGUGAAAUGCGUAGAGAUGUGGAGGAACACCAGUGGCGAAGGCGACUUUCUGGAUAGAUACUGACACUGAGACACGAAAGCGUGGGGAGC